AUUGCAACCUCAUCUCGGCCGCGGAGGAUUUGAAAUCAGAGGAAGACAGGCUAGCAGCAGACAAAUGGCAGCUCGCCAUCAUGAAGCUGAGGUGCUGUGGAUGUUGGAUGAUUCUUACAAGUGCAAUAUGGAUGCAGCAAUCAUCUAUCAGAAACUCACAGGAAGACAAUGUCACAAUGGAGCAUUUUAUAACCUCAAAUGGGCAUGUUAGUCUUGGAAAACGAUGUUGGGAACUCACAGAAGGCAAUGUUAGCCUCAGAACAAAGUCAGUCUUCACCAGAUUUGGGAGUGGUAAAUUCUUUGAUUGUUUAGCAAUUGCUUUGGACAAAUUUUCAACAUGCUACAACCUUUCUUUGAUGUCCUGCUAGAUAAGGAACAAUGG
rnacentral:lncRNA from 1 species